rnacentral:rRNA from 1 species
AUUGAACGCUGGCGGCAGGCCUAACACAUGCAAGUCGAGCGAGCGGCGGAAGGGUGAGUAAUGGAUGGGGACUGCCCGAUAGAGGGGGAGAACUACUGGAAACGGUGGCUAAGACCGCAUACUAACCGAUAACCCAUAUGGGAUUGGCUAGUAGGCAAGUGAAUGGCUUACCUAGGCGACGAUCCCUAGCUGGUCUGAGAGGAUGAUCAGCCCCACUGGGACUGAGACACGGCCCAGACUCCUACGGAGGCAGCAGUGGGGAAUAUUGCACAAUGGGCGAAAGCCUGAUGCAGCCAUGCCGCGUGUAUGAAGAAGGCCCUAGGGUUGUAAAGUUCUUUCAGUCGGGAGGCGUUACCGAAAGAGAAAGCCACGGCUAACUCCGUGCCAGCAGCCGCGGUAAUUC